UGCUCAGGGGCCACUUUGCCACAAGUGGUUAUCUUCUCCUGGCUUGUGGCACUCACUGCGCUUGUCUCGUACAUUAGAUAACUAGCUAGGUGAUAUUUUAAUUGAAUAUAUUUUUCCUUUUAUGUAACAUUAGGUUAUGCAUUGAACAUUUUAACAUUUUUUUUUUAUUUUCAUUUUUUUAAAAGACAAUUGACUGCAGUGUCCAUCUGUUUGUUAAAUGUUAUCCAUAUUUAGAGUUACUUUAGGAACGAGAAUUGGAAUAGAUGGAUUUAUAGUGGCUUUCAAUUUAUUUUCCUAAAAUCACUUUUGAACAAUACAAAUUUCAUUUUAUUUUUAUUACUUUUUUAGUAACCAAAAGUAAUUCAAUAAAUAAUUUAACCCUCUCCUCCUCAAAGUGUUUCUACGGUUGACUAAAUAUAUGUAUCUACUCAUGUACAUUGAUCUCAUACAAAAAUGUUCUCAAAAUGUAAAGAAAACAAAAAGAAAUUAAGCUGUAGCAGGUGAGGAAUUGAAUUAUAGUCCCCAUUCCCUUUUCCAAUGUUUUAUUUUAAUAAUAAAAAAAAACAAAUAGAGACAGAAAGAGUUGAUAAAAGAAAUUACUAAACUGAAUCAAGCAUUUCAUUUUGAUUUUGUUGCUUUAAUAUUGAAUAUUAAAUAUAUUUUCUGUUUUGUUACAAAUAUAAUAAUGAAUGUUCAUUAUAUUUUAUAUUUAUAUAUAUAUAUAUAUAUAUAUAUAUUUGUAUUUUUUUUGUUAUAAUUAAUUUUUUGUUUUUUGGAAUAGCGUAAGCUUAGGACGGAUACUAAAAUUCACCAAAAAAUGGAUAAGUUUAUGUGUACUUAAUUUCAGUACUACUGAGCAAAUGGUUGCUUUAUGGAAUUUUCACUGAACUGUAUUAAAGACGUAGAUUCAGGGAAGACUAAUAGUUUAGCUUCACCCCCCCCCCCUCCCCCCAUACACACACACAGAUUUCAGGAUAUUAGAAUAGGUCAUAAAUAGGUCUUAUUUAAUCUUGUUUUAUAUACACACUGAUCACUUUAGAAUCUGAGAGACUAUGUCACAUAAUUUGUUGUGCGAAAUGGAUCUCAAGGCUUCUUUUCAACAGGAAGAAUAAACCAGCUGACAGUUCAUUCUCCCAUGAGAGGUCAAGUGACAAAUUGUUCAGAUUAGUCAUUGAAUCUUUUUUGUUUAAGUGCCUAAAUGUUUGACAGCUAAGUUAUAUUUAUAUUUGCUUGUAAAUUUCAGACUUUAGCAUUUGCCACAAAAGAAUCUUUCCAGAAGUGUAAUUCAUCAAAUGAAUUGCCUCCCCUUUAUUUGUUGUACAAAAUCAUAUUGACUAAACACAUUUACAUGUUUCAACGUAUUUUUAUUCUAUUAUUUUUUUUAUAUAUUAUUAUUACAAACAGUAUUAUUAUACAUAGACAUUAUUUUUUUGCUAUUUUAUAUAUUUUUGCAUUAAUAUCAAGUUUUAAUGUUUGCAUUCAUAUUUAAUUUUUUUAUUGAAUAACUUUCUGUUGCCUUCUCAUCAAGAGUCUAAAUAAAAUAACAAUUGGUAUUGUUUAGGAGUUCAACACCUCUAUAUCAAGAUACAUAUGAUACACAGGCUAAAAGGUCUUAUCACUAUUAAAUAAUUUAGAUUGUAACCAAUGGGAGGUACCACAGUUAUAUUAAAUUUCCUUUGAAAUGAUAAACUUUAAAACAAAAGGGGUAUUAGUUAAUGUUUGAGUAUCUAACCAAUUUUUUCAAACGUGUGUAGAAAUUAAUAUAUAUAUAUAUAUAUAUCACAUUUAUUGUUUUCCACUAUGUAUUUCUAAAUUUACAUAUUUUUUUUUCAAAUGUAUUUUUCUGUUAUUCUCCUAUUGGAAAACAAGCUUUAGCAAUUAAUAGAAAACAAGCUUCCAAUGAGAAUUUAUUUCCCAUGACAGUUACUGGAGUUGUACAUUUUGUUUUUGUUGAGUGUUUCAUUGUGCCUGAUAUGGAUUUAAAAAAAAAAAAAGGAUGUAAUAGAUCUUUAUGUAGAGUGUGAUGUGUGUUGCAUUUUGACACUAUUAAUUGGCUCUUAUGUUAUGACACUUUCCUAGACUUCAAUUUUCAAAUCUUUCCACACUGUUUUCUUUUCUUUAUAAAUAAAAAAUAUUAAAACGUAU